UACAGAGGGUGCAAGCGUUGUUCGGAAUCAUUGGGCGUAAAGGGCGUGUAGGCGGUCGGGGUAAGUCUGAUGUGAAAUCUCAGAGCUCAACUCUGAAACUGCAUUGGAUACUAUUCGGCUUGAGUCGCGAGGGGGACUGAGUACUCGUGUGAGCAGGUGAAAUGCGUACGAUAUCGAGGAGGAACACCGGUGGCGAAGGCG
rnacentral:rRNA from 1 species